GGGUCAGUAGGUUGGUCGUGCCACCGGUACGUACUGGUCUCACUGAUUCCUCCUUCCUGAAGAACUGUAAUGCCAUUAAUUUGGUGUUGCGGGGAAACAGGACUGUUACUUUGAAAAAAUUAGAGUGUUUAAAGCAAGCUAACGCUCGAAUACAUUAGCAUGGAAUAAUGAAAUAGGACGAUCGAUCCUAUUUUGUUGGUUUCUAGGAUUGACGUA
rnacentral:rRNA from 1 species